rnacentral:rRNA from 1 species
GAUGAACGCUGGCGGGAGGUCUAACACAUGCAAGCCGAGCGGUAUUUGUUGUUCGGGACAGAGUGAGCGGCGCUCGGGUGCGGACCACGUGUGCAACCUGCCUUUAUCUGGGGGAUUUCCUUUCUAACGGAAGAUUAAUACCCCAUAAUAUAUUGAGUGGCAUCUUUUGAUAUUGAAACCUCCGGUUGUUAGAGAUGGGCACGCGCAAGAUUAGAUAGUUGGUGAGGUAACGGCUCACCAAGUCAAUGAUCUUUAGGGGGCCUGAGAGGGUGAUCCCCCAAAGUGGUACUGAGACACGGACUAGAAUCAGACGCGAGGCAGAAGUGAGGAAUAAUGGAGAAGGUGUUAGCGGCUAAACCAGCCAUCCAGGGUGAAGGAUGACGGCCCUAUGGGUUGUAAACUUCUUUUGUAUAGGGAUAAACCCACUGUCGUGAGAGUGGCUGAAGGUACUAUACGAAUAAGCACCGGCUAACUCCGUG